CCAUGCAUGUCUCAGUACAAGCCAAAUUAAGGUGAAACCGCGAAAGGCUCAUUAUAUCAGUUAUGGUUCCUUAGAUCGUACCCACAUUUACUUGGAUAACUGUGGUAAUUCUAGAGCUAAUACAUGCAAACAGAGUUCCAACCAGAGAUGGAAGGAAUGCUUUUAUUAGAUCAAAACCAAUCGGUGUUUUAUAUUUUUAAUAUUUUACAUUUACUUGUAAAUAUUAUAAUAUUGCAUCGUUUUAUUUGGUGACUCUGAAUAACUUUAAGCUGAUCGCACGGUCUAGUACCGGCGACGUAUCUUUCAAAUGUCUGCCUUAUCAACUGUCGAUGGUAGGUUCUGCGCCUACCAUGGUUGUAACGGGUAACGGGGAAUCAGGGUUCGAUUCCGGAGAGGGAGCCUGAGAAACGGCUACCACAUCCAAGGAAGGCAGCAGGCGCGCAAAUUACCCACUCCCGGCACGGGGAGGUAGUGACGAAAAAUAACGAUACGGGACUCAUCCGAGGCCCCGUAAUCGGAAUGAGUACACUUUAAAUCCUUUAACAAGGAUCCAUUGGAGGGCAAGUCUGGUGCCAGCAGCCGCGGUAAUUCCAGCUCCAAUAGCGUAUAUUAAAGUUGUUGCGGUUAAAAAGCUCGUAGUCGAAUCUGUGUCUCACACUGUUGGUUCACCGCUCGCGGUGUUCAACUGGCAUGUUAUGUGAGACGUCCUACCGGUGGGUGGUGUGAAUUAUUGUUAUUGUUUUAUAUAUAAUUUUAUGUUUAUAUUUAUAUUAUAUAUUACAAUAUUGUAAGUGUUAAAAUUUAUUUUUUAAUAACUGCGCUUGUAUAUAUUUCUAUUUAUAUAUUAUGUAUAUUAUAUUGGCAAUUUACAUUAAUAAUUUGCCGUAAGUGUUUUGCCGUGAAGAACGGCGACAGCCCCCAAUUGCAAUCCCGUCGCGGUGCUCUUAACUGAGUGUCGAGGUGGGCCGGUACGUUUACUUUGAACAAAUUAGAGUGCUUAAGGCAGGCUCAAAUUUUGCCUGAAUAUUGUGUGCAUGGAAUAAUGGAAUAGGACCUCGGUUCUAUUUUGUUGGUUUUCGGAACUCCGAGGUAAUGAUUAAUACGGACAGAUGGGGGCAUUCGUAUUGCGACGUUAGAGGUGAAAUUCUUGGAUCGUCGCAAGACGGACAGAAGCGAAAGCAUUUGCCAAAAAUGUUUUGAUUGAUCAAGAACGAAAGUUAGAUGUUCGAAGGCGAUCAGAUACCGCCCUAGUUCUAACCAUAAACGAUGCCAGCUAGCGAUCCGCCGAAGUUCCUCCGAUGACUCGGCGGGCAGCUUCCGGGAAACCAAAGCUUUUGGGUUCCGGGGGAAGUAUGGUUGCAAAGCUGAAACUUAAAGGAAUUGACGGAAGGGCACCACCAGGAGUGGAGCCUGCGGCUUAAUUUGACUCAACACGGGAAACCUCACCAGGCCCGGACACCGGAAGGAUUGACAGAUUGAGAGCUCUUUCUUGAUUCGGUGGGUGGUGGUGCAUGGCCGUUCUUAGUUGGUGGAGCGAUUUGUCUGGUUAAUUCCGAUAACGAACGAGACUCUAGCCUGCUAAAUAGACGUUUCUCCGGCAUCUCAAGGCCCACCGGCUGUUUGUUUUCCGUUAUGUUGUUGGCAUGAUUUAAUAUUUUAAUAUGAUAUAUGUGUAUAUUGAAAAUAUUUUUAUUUUGUUUUGGUAUUUCAGUGUACUUAUACAGGCUAAAUUGUUAUAUAUUUUGUUUUCCGCAUAUAUAUAUGACAAUCUGUAUUUAGUGUACUGGGUCCAUUCAAAUAAAAUAUCGUAGAUAUAUAUGUGUUUAUGUUUUAUGUUUGCAUGUUGACACAUGCGGGCUACAGUUAUUUGGUGUGGUUUUUACUGCCGGCGUACAUUUAAAACUUCUUAGAGGGACAGGCGGCUUCUAGCCGCACGAGAUUGAGCAAUAACAGGUCUGUGAUGCCCUUAGAUGUUCUGGGCCGCACGCGCGCUACACUGAAGGAAUCAGCGUGUCCUCCCUGGCCGAAAGGUCCGGGUAACCCGCUGAACCUCCUUCGUGCUAGGGAUUGGGGCUUGCAAUUGUUCCCCAUGAACGAGGAAUUCCCAGUAAGCGCGAGUCAUAAGCUCGCGUUGAUUACGUCCCUGCCCUUUGUACACACCGCCCGUCGCUACUACCGAUUGAAUGAUUUAGUGAGGUCUUCGGACUGGUACGCGGUAAUGUUUCUGACCUUACCGAUGUUGCUGGGAAGAUGACCAAACUUGAUCAUUUAGAGGAAGUAAAAGUCGUAACAAGGUUUCCGUUAG
rnacentral:rRNA from 1 species